GACGAACCGUGCGAACGUUGUUCGGAUUCACUGGGCUUAAAGGGCGCGUAGGCGGCUUGCCAAGUCGGGGGUGAAAUCUUUCGGCUCAACCGGAAAACAGCUUCCGAUACUGGCGAGCUUGAGUGGGGUAGGGGCGACUGGAACUUCCGGUGGAGCGGUGAAAUGCGUAGAUAUUCGCAAGAACACCAGUGGCGAAGGCGGCUCACUGGCCCGGUACUGACGCUGAGGCACGAAAGCGUGGGGAGCAAACAGGG
rnacentral:rRNA from 1 species